ACGGCGAUGAUGAUUGGCGCAGGGGUACCGACCUCGGCUGGAUAAUGGGGGCCGAGUGCAAGCGUCGCUGUGUAGCCUGCAUGUAGCAGGCGACGACGGACCGCUUGCAUGAGAACAGAGCCGCGAUCUGAGCCGC
rnacentral:snoRNA from 1 species